rnacentral:rRNA from 1 species
UACAGAGGAUGCAAGCGUUAUCCGGAAUGAUUGGGCGUAAAGCGUCUGUAGGGGGCUUUUUAAGUCCGCCGUCAAAUCCCAGGGCUCAACUCUGGACAGGCGGUGGAAACUACCAAGCUGGAGUACGGUAGGGGCAGAGGGAAUUUCCGGUGGAGCGGUGAAAUGCGUAGAUAUCGUCUGGAACGCCGAAGGUGAAAACAGCUCGCUGGGGCUGCGCUGACGCUGAGACACGAAAGCCAGGGGAGCGAACGGG